rnacentral:rRNA from 1 species
UACGUAGGGGGCAAGCGUUGUCCGGAUUUACUGGGUUUAAAGGGUGUGUAGGCGGGCUUUUAAGUCAGUGGUGAAAUCUCCGGGCUCAACCUGGAAACUGCCAUUGAUACUAUUAGUCUUGAAUUCUGUUGAGGUAGGCGGAAUAAGUCAUGUAGCGGUGAAAUGCAUAGAUAUGACUUAGAACACCAAUUGCGAAGGCAGCUUACUAAGCAGAUAUUGACGCUGAGGCACGAAAGCGUGGGGAGCAAACAGG